GACGAACGCUGGCGGCGUGCUUAACACAUGCAAGUCGAACGGAAAGGUCCUGCUUUUGUGGGGUGCUCGAGUGGCGAACGGGUGAGUAACACGUGAGUAACCUGUCCUUGACUUUGGGAUAACUUCAGGAAACUGGGGAUAAUACCGGCUAGGAGCUCCUGCUGCAUGGUGGGGGUUGGAAAGUUUCGGCGGGUGGGGAUGGACUCGCGGCUUAUCAGCUUGUUGGUGGGGUAGUGGCUUACCAAGGUGUUAACGGGUAGCCGGCCUGAGAGGGUGACCGGCCACAUUGGGGCUGUGAUACGGCCCAGACUCCUACGGGGGGGGGCGGUGGGGAAUAUAGCACAAUGGGCGGAAACCUGAUGCAGCAAAGCCGCGUGCGGGAUAACGGCGUUCGGGUUGUAAACCGCGUUCGCCUGUGACAAAGCGAGAGUGACGGUAAUGGGUAAAGAAGCACCGGCUAACUACGUG
rnacentral:rRNA from 1 species